AAGAAAUGCAAACCAAACCCAUUGUCAAAUAUUCCCUUCUUUCCCCUCCAAACCCUACAGCUGAUAGUCUCUUCUUCUCCGCCAUGGAAACCCCAGCUCUUUCUCCUAAACCUACCCAAGAUUUUAGCUCCUCAGUUGACACUUCUCGCCCUUUUCGCUCUGUCAAAGAAGCCGUAGCCAUCUUCGGUGAGCGGAUUCUUGUUGGAGAGAUAUACUCUCCAAAGCCUUAUUACACUCCUCCUCCUAGUCUUCAUGACCCUUCAUGGACGUUCUCAACUCCAAGUCCUGUAAACCCCAACAAGGAAGAUGAUCAUGAUCAUGACCAUGAACAGAAUAAUAAUGGGUUCUUGGAUACUCUAAAGAAACUCGAGGCUGAGCUUGAGCAAACGAAGGCGGAGCUGAAGUUGCUGAAGGAGAGAGAGUCAGAGACUGAAAUUGCAGUAGCUUCUUUGAACGCUGAGCUUCACAAGAACAUGUCCAAGUUGGCUGAGGCAGAGGCGGCGGCGGCGAAAAAAGCAGCUGCGGCAGCAAGAAGGGUGAGUUUUGAAACGGAAAAGAAAGAAGAUGUUGUGAGACAGGAGGAAAAGAAGAGAGAGUUGAUGAUAAGAAUGGAGAAUUCGGCAACUAAUUUAGCUCAUAUAUUGAGUAUUGGUGAAGAGAAAGGAUUCUAUGGAGGAAAAAAGGAGAGGAAGAAGUUGAAGAAGAAGCCUAUAGUUCCUCUACUGGGAGAUUUGUUAUUCAGGAAAAAAGGGUCAUCUAAUAAUAAAACUCUUAAUAACCCUCUCUUUGCUUCUGCUCAUGGUGUAUUUUGAUUAGGGAAAAUUCGUUGUUGUAUAAGCAAAGUUCAUGAACAUUGUUUCAGGUUGAGUUUAAUUAAUUUUAAUUUCUGAGUUUGUAAUGCAUGCAUACGUUGUUUGUAUUAUCUAUGGAUAAAUUUUCUUUAAUUUCCG
rnacentral:misc_RNA from 1 species